GAUUAGAUACCCUGGUAGUCCACGCCGUAAACGAUGUCGACUUGGAGGUUGUUCCCUUGAGGAGUGGCUUCCGGAGCUAACGCGUUAAGUCGACCGCCUGGGGAGUACGGCCGCAAGGUUAAAACUCAAAUGAAUUGACGGGGGCCCGCACAAGCGGUGGAGCAUGUGGUUUAAUUCGAUGCAACGCGAAGAACCUUACCUACUCUUGACAUCCAGAGAACUUAGCAGAGAUGCUUUGGUGCCUUCGGGAACUCUGAGACAGGUGCUGCAUGGCUGUCGUCAGCUCGUGUUGUGAAAUGUUGGGUUAAGUCCCGCAACGAACGCAACCCUUAUCCUUUGUUGCCAGCGAUUCGGUCGGGAACUCAAAGGAGACUGCCGGUGAUAAACCGGAGGAAGGUGGGGAUGACGUCAAGUCAUCAUGGCCCUUACGAGUAGGGCUACACACGUGCUACAAUGGCGCAUACAAAGAGAAGCGACCUCGCGAGAGCAAGCGGACCUCAUAAAGUGCGUCGUAGUCCGGAUCGGAGUCUGCAACUCGACUCCGUGAAGUCGGAAUCGCUAGUAAUCGUGGAUCAGAAUGCCACGGUGAAUACGUUCCCGGGCCUUGUACACACCGCCCGUCACACCAUGGGAGUGGGUUGCAAAAGAAGUAGGUAGCUUAACCUUCGGGAGGGCGCUUACCACUUUGUGAUUCAUGACUGGGGUGAAGUCGUAACAAGG
rnacentral:rRNA from 1 species